UAGAAGUUUCACCAGCUUCCCUAGCUGAAAGCUGAAAGAGACUGAGCUCCUCUGUUCCUUUUUUCCUCCUUAACAACUUCAGAGUAUACCAGAAGUCCUGAAGAGAGCAUAAGGGCUUACCACCAGAAGGCUCUCCACAGGGAGAUAUAUUUGAAUGCAGCAAUUCAUGAAGAUCACCUACAGUGCCUACAGCACUGAAAACACAGAUAGAAAUUCAUUGAAGUCCUGGAGAAGGGAGACAAUGAAGAUUAUGCCUGUAUGAAAACAUUUAACUACCAUUUGUUUUUGCCAACCGUGUUGACAGUCUUGAGAUGCAAUUUUUCUUGAUACCUUUAAGCAGUUGUAAACAGUCAGAAUUAACAGGUCUGACCCUGUAUCACUCUUUCAAUAAACUCCAAAGUCUUCCUACUAUUUCAAAAUUCUAGCUUAUAAAACAAUUCACAUCUACCUUUCCUUUUUUAUCAUACAUUGCCUCUCUUCCUACUUUCUACUGACUAGUCAAACUAGAGUUCAUACUCUUCCUGACACCUGAUAUUUUAUCUUCAUCUCUCAAUUUCUUUGAAAGUUAGCACAGGACAAAUUAAUGGUCAUGAAGAGCGACAACACUGAAAUGUCAAGCCAUCAAGUCAGAACUGAAUUCCCUUCAAUCGGUCAA